UAGUCCUUCCUCUCUGAAUGAGAGGAAUUGGUCCUGGCAGACUACAUGUACAGUGUUCUCAAGUGCUGGCAGUCGAAGAAGCCCUUCUGUGAUUUCCUGGGAAUUGUUUCAAAGCAGUUAAAAUAGGAAAACAUCGAGCACAGUUUUACAGAGCUGCAUCAGAAUAAUUCCAGCAGCCAAGACUGCAAAUGCUUGUAACGAAAUCUGAAUUGAGACUAAUACUCCAGCUUCAAUAGGUGCAGUGCCUGUGCAGAACUCCGUCCUUCCAAACUCUUACAAUUCUUCUAAGUCAAAAUCCCAAAUCAAGGUAAAGAUAAUAGACUUUAAAAACAAUUUUCCCACCCCUUCUGUCCUAAAGCUGGCCAUUAACAGUCUUUAAAACAACACCUACAGCCCAUUCCUCAAACAGUUCUAAUAUACCGAGGCAAUUGCUCAUGGAAGGAAUGUAAGACCUAGUCAGCGUCUUAUGGGUUUAUAUCCCAUUUGGAUUUAAAAGGGCUCAUUCAGCAAGAGCAACUUCAGCAUCUGGAAAGCUGCUGCACGUUUUUGCUGUAAAACUGGUAUGGGAUACAUAGGGUUACUUUCUACUACUGUAUUCUAAAGAAAUAUGAAGCAUUGGCAGGUAUGCUUGUAACAUUGUGGGGGUUUAAACAACCUAAAUACUUCUAAUUGAUUUGCUAUUGAAACAGUCCCAGGUGGCAGAAUAUGAAGCGGUAUCAUCUUACAGCUCCACGUGGAAGGUGCUGUCCCUUCUACAUUAUGGAAGAGAAUGAGGAACUGAAGAUGUUGAGGAUGGGCUGAAAGAAGUGGUGGGCCUGUUUUGUUUCUGUGUCACACAAGACUGAAGGGGAUGCUGGAAGGGAAAUGCUGCAUUGCAGGAGAUGUAUUUUGCUCCAGCAUAUGCCAGUUGAUCAUUGUCAGUGUGAGUCAAGAUACUGUCUGGAAACAAGGAGAAUUUGGAAGAGAGACACCCAUGUAGUGUGCAAAGCAUGCGUCAAAGAGCCCAAUCUGUGGUCAUCCCUUGCUGGGGAGUCUCAUUCAAAGUUUUCCUUCUCUCUCCAGCAGCAUUUUUUUAACCAUUCCUUUGUACUACAAGGCAAUCGAUCAUGGGGAGAACCUCGGUGUGUGAUGUUCAGGUAAAGCGACUCAUUGAGUAGGUUGUGAUGCACCAUUUCUCUGACGUACUGGACUUGGAAACAGAAGAAGAAACAGAAAAGCAGAAUAUUGGACAAAUGUACAUUUAACCCUGCGUACUCUGAAGUCAUCCCUGCAGUAGAAGUCAAGGAUUUUUUCCUGGCAGAACUGUCCCACAGUGAUAUCCAUAUUCCUCUUCGCUGAUGCUACUCGAAGUCUUUUCAAUCCCUUUUAUAUCAAUAGGAUUUCCAACCUUAACCCAUUGCUGCAAGGGUCCUGGACUUGAAUGUACAGCCACUGAAUGUUGCUGUGCUCCCUCAUUGGCAGCACAAACAUGAUCUUAAAAAUUAAGGAGAUGCCUGCUAGGGAAAUUUUUCUAUAUAGGGACA